UGUGGAGGUUACUCAGGUACAAAGACAGGUGAGGGUUCUGAGCCUCGAACGUUCCCACGCUGAUCAAAUCACCUGUUAGCGGUUCACCGGAACCUGCCGAGUGUCGCCGAAGCCCGAGUCGAACCGCGUCACGCUCCUCACAACUCAAAGCGACGCGUUGAGACGCAGCGGCGAACUUCUCCGACAGAUCACAUCCGCUUCACUCGUCCUGCUCGACGCGGGGGUCCGACGGAACAUUCCCGGAGGCCGCGGGACCGAAGAAAGACGCUUUUUCUCAUGAAAACUGGCGACGAAUUAAAGUUGAAGCGGCCGCUCCGUCAUGGAGGCCAUGUUUGGGAGCGACCGAAGCACCGCCUGUCAGCGCCAGCGGGAAAAGUAGGUCCCCGAACACGUUCACUACCGCCCCGGAGCGGAGCCGGUUACCGGACACGGUUUAUCGACUGCAUCCCGGUUAGAGGCGACGUUCCACCCGCGUGACGGUCAGAAGUGAGCAGCUUCAUCCACGUCUGCGUCACACUCCGUUCAUUUGUUUGUGUUGUGAAAAGUGUCUGACCCCGCGGAGGGAUCUGAUCACAGCGGCUCCGGUGAAGAGGCUCUGUCAUCAGACCUGAAGUCCCGGACUGGAUCCACGAGGAGGAUCCGGACUGGACCCCCGAGAUGACCCGGACUGGUACCCCGAUAGGACCCGGACUGGAUCCCCGAGGACCCGGACUGCUAUCGAACCACCGGCAACACAACUUCAUAUUAUUAUUUUAUGUUGAUCAGUUAAAACACACACACAACACACACACACAUUAUAUGAUUAUCUUUAUUAAAUCAUUAAUGCGCAGCUUCAGAACCUCAUCAGUAACCAUGACAACUGGAGCCCAGCUGAUAUGAAAACAUUUAUUCAACAGAAGAAACUAUGCUGAAAAUAUUUUACAUAAAAAAUAUAUUUUCCCAAUCUU